rnacentral:rRNA from 1 species
GUAGGUGGCAAGCGUUGUCCGGAAUUAUUGGGCGUAAAGCGCGCGCAGGUGGUUCUUUAAGUCUGAUGUGAAAGCCCCCGGCUCAACCGGGGAGGGUCAUUGGAGACUGGGGAACUUGAGUGCAGGAGAGGAAAGUGGAAUUCCACGUGUAGCGGUGAAAUGCGUAGAUAUGUGGAGGAACACCAGUGGCGAAGGCGACUUUCUGGCCUGUAACUGACACUGAGGCGCGAAAGCGUGGGGAGCAAACAGGGAUUAGAUACCCUGGUAGUCCACGCCGUAAACGAUGAGUGCUAAGUGUUGGGGGGGGUUUCCGCCCCCUCAGUGCUGCAGCUAACGCAUUAAGCACUCCGCCUGGGAGUACGGUCGCAAGACUG